rnacentral:rRNA from 1 species
AGCGAACGCUGGCGGCGUGCCUAACACAUGCAAGUCGAGCGAGAAAGGGUGGCAACACCCUGAGUAAAGCGGCGAACGGGUGAGUAACGCGUGGGCAAUCUACCUUCCAGUCUGGGAUAACCUUCCGAAAGGAGGGCUAAUACCGGAUGAUGUCCUGUUGGGGCAUCCUGAGGGGAGCAAAGGGGGCGACCCGCAAGGGGCUCUCGCUGGAGGAGGAGCCUGCGUCCGAUUAGCAGUUGGUGGGGUAACGGCUCACCAAGGCGACGAUCGGUAGCCGGCCUGAGAGGGUGACCGGCCACACUGGGACUGAGACACGGCCCAGACUCCUAUGGGAGGCAGCAGUGGGGAAUCUUGCGCAAUGGGCGAAAGCCUGACGCAGCGACGCCGCGUGGGGGACGAA